UGUUGCAGUCUGGGUUAAGGUGUCCCAACCUGGGUUUUCCUUCUCAAACUCUUCCUCUCUCACCACUAGGCCCACCGUCGCCACCUGAUUCUGAGGUUCUUUCCAUCUCUUUAGUAGGUUGACAUGGAUUAACAUUCCCAACAUCCAUCACCUUGGCAAACAGGGGCUCCAAUGUGCUAUCUUGCUUCUGUAAUUCCACAAUAUUUUCAGCAAACACAUCAACACUGGCAAGUCCCUCCCCAAAAGAAGGUCCACAGGCAGAUUAUCUACCACCCCAACAGUCAGAAAAUAAGGCUGCUCAUCGAUUAACACAGUUAUUUCAGUCUGAGGUUGGUUCCAGCUCAUUUCUGGUCCCUGUGCUGGUGAUACCUGGAGGAUGUCGUACUGUUGCUCCCCGUUGUGUCCAGACCUGCGAUAUCGGAAGGGCUGGAGGCCGUACGUUGGUGGUGGGUCGAGCCAAGGUGGUGGUUCUCACCUCUGGCGACAGGACGCGAAGAAGUUGCUCCAGGAUGAUGGCCUCCCCGAUCUGCUCUUUGGUCCGUUGCUCCGGCUGAAUCCAACGGCGGUAGAGUCCUUUUAAGCGGUGAUAUGUCUCAGUGGGCGUUUCUCCAUGUGGCACAGAUGCAC